rnacentral:rRNA from 1 species
UACGAAGGGGGGCUAGCGUUGUUCGGAAUUACUGGGCGUAAAGCGCACGUAGGCGGAUUGUUAAGUUAGGGGUGAAAUCCCAGGGCUCAACCCUGGAACUGCCUUUAAUACUGGCAAUCUCGAGUCCGAGAGAGGUGAGUGGAAUUCCGAGUGUAGAGGUGAAAUUCGUAGAUAUUCGGAAGAACACCAGUGGCGAAGGCGACUUACUGGACACAUAUUGACGCUGAGGUGCGAAAGCGUGGGGAGCAAACAGG